AAAAUAAAGGUAUUUUUUUUAAAUACAACUUACUAAAAGACCUCCCUUACUACGAAUAAACGCAAGCUUGGCACCUGUAUCGAAGUUAUCCACCAGGUGUACCAAGGGUACACCUAGUUCCCAACCCAGAGAGUCACGCCUCUCUUACCUUCCAAAGUGACAAAUUGACUCCCGGAACGCUUCCAUUUGAGAAAUUGGAAACAACUAAAAUGAAUACGACCAGCAUCCAGUGCCGAGAAGUUUCCCAGAGAGUCCCACCUCUCCUACCCUCCGAACCUCGAUUACUCGGUUAGGGAAAGUGUGAUUCACGUGGUUUCAAAUCGGCAAGAAGGAAAGAAGAAAGAACGAAAAAUUACCAGAAACGCGUUUUUUUCAGUCUUCCCAGAAUAGAAAAUUUCGAUAAAAACAAUGUCGUGAGUGUGUUUUCAAAUUAAAUCAUAGAUUAAAUUAAUUGCAAAAAAAUUGAAAAACUAGCCAGCCAACAAAAUUUCAUAUUGAUGGAAUCGCAAAACGGCGAUCAGAAGCACACUGAAAAAAAAACUAAUAAUAAAUGGUGCACACACUAUUUUCCUUAUCGAAAUGAUUGUGUGCCCCAGGAACACCCAGCCGGGAUACGUCGUCCUCCGCCCAUCAAGAUGUAAAGCCGAAACAACAAGAAGCUGCGACAUUAUUAGCUCUAUUCGUGGCAGAGUUUCUUAAUGGAAUUCUGGUGAGCAACGCAGAAAUGUUGCCAGUGAAACAGACAAGUAAACGAGAUGCCGAUGUCCCACCAGUCAGCCAAGUUUUCAGUAGUAAUAUUGUAACUCGACUGCAUCACAAUAUAUACACACAAAGAAAAUGUAUAGUACUCAUCUUAAUUACUUGUUCCAAAUGUUAUUUGAACAUUUUCUAUCAUGGUGAGUUUUUUUUUUCUCCAAGCAAAUGUAGAACGUAUAAGGUAGAUACCGUACAUAAAUAUUUGUUGGUUUGCGGUUUGACUCAAACCGUCCACAUUCAAAUUUGCCUAGUUAUUAUUGUUAUUUUCUUUUUAUUCCAAUUGUAAUUAUGUGGACUGGGGAUCAAGAAUUAAGGGUUAUAAUCUAUUAAAAAACUUUAUAAAGUGGUAAAA